rnacentral:lncRNA from 1 species
GUCUAGUGAUUUUUUUUAUAUCCAGAAAGCAACAUAAUUUAAAUAUUGUAAAUUAGCUGUCUCUACAUUUUUAAUAGAGAAAGCUUACCAUUAUAAUUAUUUUUUCCUCUCUUUCCCCUUUAAUCAGGAAUAAAUUGCUUAAUUUUUAUUUUUUAUUUUUUUUUUCCCCACAUGAGAGCAGAUAGAUGUUCCUCGGAAAGCCAUAACCUGAGAAAGAAAGAGAGAAGCACAGGUAAGUGAAAUUAAAUGAAUAAAUGACCAUGGAAGUAAAUACAUAGUUAUUAGGGAACGUGACAGAUCAUUUCGACAGCGCAGGAAGAAAAAAAAAAAAAAAGUCGACAAAUAACCUCCCACCCCCAAUUAUUUAUUUAAUUUAGAGUCUCACAGCAGCCCUCACAAUAGGCAAAGGCAGCUAGGAAAGGAUAGAUCUCACGCCAGCCGUUCAGCUGGUGGCUCUCUCUAGGUUUAACACCGGAGGAAACGAACCCACGAAGCGGGGCUCAACCCCCGUCGCCUCCCCCCAGCCCGUGGCCGCUCGCAGCCGAUGCGCUUUGUAGUUUCCCGGCGCCAGAGCAGUAGGACCCAGGGGCCCUCCGCAGCCACCAAUAGAGGCUGCUACCGGGAUCUAUUUGUAUGCGAUGCCUCCUGCUCCGCGCAUUAAUAGUAAUACAGAUAACGGCUCUGAAAGAAUGCUCUCCUGGAGAAGGAUUUGAUUUUCUGGGGUCCUGAUACUGGGGAGAAAUCCGGUUCCAUCCCCCCUUUUUGAUUUAAAACUCUCCCGAACAGCUUGUCGUCUUCAGUGCUCCCUCUUUCUCUCUCUCCGUAUAAAUACACCUCCCUGCAGCCCCGCUCUGCGUAAGGAAAGUUGGAAAAGGGCAGCCUGAGCGAUGGGGCUGCCGCUGCCCUGAGAGCCUGUGGAGCCCGGCGGUGAGUCCCGCGGUGAUGGGACUGGAUGGGAUGUGGACGGGACGGGAGGGAAUGGUAUGGGGGCUUCUCCCCGGGGGCUGCGGGAGGGGCCGGGGCGGGAGAUGGCGAUGCGGAAGCCCCCAGAACGCGGGGGGAGCGCUCCGACAAGUUUCCCGGCAGGUACCGGUGGCGGGUUGCUUGCCCGCAAAGUUGCCCGUGCUCUGGUACGACAAAGAAGUUUGGCCGCGGAGAACUCGGGGGGUGGGAGGGGACGGACCUGGGGGGCUCCCAACUUGUGCGGGGCGAGGAGAAGCGCCGGCUUUGUUGUCGCCGCACUGCCCGGGAGCCUUUCCCCUUCCCGGGGGGGCGAACGGGCGUGGGGAUGUGGAUGUGAGUGUAGCAUGUGAUGCACGUCUUUUAUUUACCCACCUAUGUGUCAGAAAAUUUUGUUGUUGCUGUUAUAAAGCAUUUCUGCAUAAAUGGACCUUCAUGCUCCAGUUUUGCUCUUUCAUCUCUUUGUGUCAAAAGGCCAGGAAUUAGGCAGUUGUAGGUGGCACUACUAGAACAUUUGCUGGAAAUUCAGUUACUGAGCCUGCUCCUCCCUCUAGUGGAAUUGAUACUGUUCCUGUGAGUAAUUCUAUAGAAAAAUAAUGGAAACACAAACUUGGAAAUGUAUGUUUUUUCAUAUCUGUAAUUCUAAAAAUGACUCAGAAAAUUGAAUAGAUAAUAGAUUACCUACCUCUAUAGGCAGGUAAAUCAUUUUAAAUGUCUCUCCAUCUUCAUCACCCACAGGAUAGACCUGUUGUUGAAGUGCAGGACUAAGGUUAUGCUGUGCUUUGCUUUUGAGAGUCCUCAGUGCUCAGGGAAUAUUCUGGGUGUGUGACAGCAAAUUCUAUAUCUUUUUUUAAUUGUUUUGUACUAAUAACCAAAGGUAAAAUGACUGUCGUUCAUUUGUCGUGUCAGAGUGUCGUUCAGAAGAGCAUACAAAUACUGUUCAGUAUGCUCUGUUGCAGAUUGUAUUUGUUUGUCUUUAGUAGUACUAAUAAUAAAGCAAAAGCAAACAAACA